rnacentral:rRNA from 1 species
UUUUUCACAAUGGGCGCAAGCCUGCUGAAGCCACGCCGUGUGCGGGAUGAAGGCUCUUUGAGUUGUAAACCGCUGUCAAGUGGGGGGAACCGUACGGUGUUAACAGCGCCGUGCCUGACUGUCCGCUAAAGGAAGCCCCGGCCACACAUGUGCCAGCAGCCGCGGUAAUACAUGUGGGGCAAGCGUUGUUCGGAAUUACUGGGCAUAAAGGGUGCGUAGGCGGCAUGUUAAGUCAGGGGUGAAAUCCCACGGCCCAACCGUGGAACUGCCUUUGAUACUGGCGUGCUUGAGUGCGUGAGGGGUAACCGGAACGAGUCGUGUAGCGGUGAAAUGCGUAGAUAUGACUCGGAAGGCCAAAGGCGAAGGCAGGUUACUGGUACGCAACUGACGCUGAGGCACGAAAGCGUGGGGAGCAAAC